CAUGUGUAUCCAUAUGGAUAUGUAAAAAUAAAACAUAAUCUUCACAUACAAAUGUUUAGUGGGAAACUAGAUUGCAAUAUGUGUAAGGAAUACAUAUAUGAGGUAAAUGAAAAACAGGAGGAGUAUAAAUUAUCUGUAAAAGAGAGAGAAGUGUGCAAGUUAGUCUAAUCGUUAGGAUAGACAAAAAGGUGUGCAAAGAAUGUGCAAAAAGUAAUACAACAACAUUAAAUAUUGCACUUCCCAAAACGGAUAAUUCUGAAGACAUAAUUACAUUGAAAACAUAUGUAAUAGAGAUGGUUAUCUGUCUGCAAUACUAAUGUGUGUGUCGAUCUGGAC